GUCACAGCUAUAAUGUGCAGUAUUACAAACUAUUUUAUAAGUGUUGUGCAAACUGUUCAUUAAAAGCCAGUGAUCUAGCGAGCUAUAGAACAUUUAUUCUUUAAAUCUCUGACCUCAAUCGGCAAAGCAAUAUUGUAAUGGUGUCCAUUGCAAUCUGCUAUCUAUACUUGCUGUAUAUGUUCAGAGAUUUCUUGGGCAAUAAUAAAUCCCCAAAAACAACAACUUUGCAUUUAUGCUAAACCUGCCUGUUGGAAACGUAUUCUGUAUAUUUCUUGACAUAAGUACUUGUACUUAAAUCUGUUUAACAAAGCUGUU